AUAGUAGCAAAUAAAUGCUAAUAUAAUAGAACGUUUUAAUUUAAAUUUUACAAUAUUAUUAAUAAUAAUAUAAUUAAUUUAAUAAUGUAGUGUUUCUGUAGCCACGUGACUCUGACGUUGUAACAUAUACGAUCGAUGCGCACUAUUACUAAUAAUACAAUUGAAAUAUAAUAUAGCUUUCGAUGCAUAAUCAAACUAUCGAUAAUGUCGGAGUUUUAACUGUCUCAUUUUUUAAUGUAAUGUCGGAGUAAAAUCCGUCGUAAUUUUGGUAACCUUUGGUAUCAGAUGGUCGGAGUAUCAGAUAUCGUAACAAUUACUACUUUGUCAAAUGUCGAAGUAUGUAAAUGUUGGAGUAUUAUCAGUUCGUGGCAAAGGUGCUUGCCCGUUGCAUUAACCAAAUUUUAUUGAUCAAGUAAUGACAUGUAAAUUAACUAUAAAAAUUUACGACGUACUAAAUGAAAAAUAACAAUAAUAGAUACAAAUCUGAUUUUCGGUGUAUUAUUAAUAGCUAAGUCUAUGUGUAUGUAAGACUAAAGCAUACAUUUCUUAGCCUCUCUUCGCCAUAGUAUAGUAACUAAAUACAAUCAAUUACUACGAUAAUGUUAUCGUAAUCAUUCGUUACACAAAAUAAUCUUUUUAAUUUUUGUUGACUGAUAUGAAUUCAAAGUUUUAACUUACCAUAUAAACGCUCGUCUUUUAAAAGAUUUUAGUUCAUUAUUUUACUAUCUUAAACAUUACCUUAAAAAACUGAACUGGUACAGUACUAAUUUGCCGACUGUACUACAAGCUUGCGUGGUCAAACAUUUUUGUACAUUAUUAACGUUACAUUGUUUUAUUAUUAUCUAAAUAUAGUGUUUUAGUGCAGCGUAUUAAUAAAAAAAAGGUUUUAUUUGUAUGUCGUUACAAUAAAAAAAUUAUUUUUGAAUGUUUAUUGAAAUAAUUAAAUUAAAAGAAAAUUGAAUAAUAGUCGAGUACAAUAUACAAUGAAAUAAGCUUUAUAGCUCUGUCUUAGUAAUUUUAUUUUAUGAAAUAGCAGCAUAAAAAAUGAAAUUUACCGAAAAAUUAAAGAGAUUAAUUUUUGAAGAUAUUUACAGUUUUGGAUUUGCUGCUGUUGAAAGACAAAAUUAUCGAAAAAUUUAACAUUUUUCUCUUUUGAGAAAAAUAAGUUUUGCUGUAGUGACAUUUUACUUAAAAAUUUUUAGUUUUGAUACCUGCUAUUGUAAGUUAUCAUCUGUAUUUUUAAGUAUGCACUUAAAAAUAAUAUCACACUAAUAUCCUAAUCAUAUUAAGAAACAAAAAAGAUUGUAAUCAUGAUUUUUUAUUACUGUCUAUCAUAAUAAAGUCAUCUAUUGAAUAAACAUAGUUCUCGAACAAACUAAAUUAUAGUUUUUGUACAAUUUUGAUGUCUAUUGGUUUUGUAUACACUUGUCUUAGCAUACUACAUUAGCAAGCUUUAAUUCAUUAUCAGAUCAACAUUAUAAUGAAUUAUUAUACUACAAUGACAGUAUUGUAGCUAAAUUUCUCAUUUGAAUUCUCUUUGAGCAAUGUUAGGUUGCAAAAAAUAAAUAAAUCUAAUAAAAAUUUAAGAUAUAAGUAAUUGUUAUUUUAUAUGUUACAUUCAAGUAUUUAAAAAAAAACUAUAGUAAAAUUAUUAUUUUUAUAGAUAUUAUGUUUACUACAGUAGAAUUUUGAUAGGGUUAAGUAUAUUCUGUUCCUUGAAAAAGGAAAUUUUACUCAUAAUAAAUAAAUAUUAUAGAUAAUAAAAACAAGUUAUUUGUAGUUUUUAACUGAAAGAUUUGACUGUGGUAAGUUAGACUAGUUAAAACAAUUAUUUUUAAUUUAAAAGCUGUUAAUUAUUAAAAUAAAUACAUAAAUUCAUCAAAACUUCAUAAAUUUUAGUAUUGCCAAUUGGAAUCAAUCUGUUAUAUUUUUAUAAAUAACUGUUGAAUACAAAAUCAAAUUCUUAAAUAAUUUUAAGUCAUUUUUAGUUCAAAAACCUUAUUAAGUUAAAAAAAAAUAAUUUCCCUUGAGCUUUAACUUAUCCAGGUUCUACUGUAUUUUAAAAUUGGUAUCAAUGUCGUACCAAGAAAAGGGAAUAGGAUGUAUAAGGUUUAUACACUUUGCAAUUUUUAAUUGUUAUAAUUGGCAGUUAUUUAAUAUUAAAGGAUGCUAACAUAUAAUUAAAAACUCCAUACUAGACCUAACCCCAAGACCUAUACUAGCGGAGGCAUGAUUGCAAUGCAUUUUAUGAGGAAACAAGGUUUUUUUUUUGUGAAAAUUGUUUUUUUUUUCAUUAAGAAUUGUUGAAAUGUCUGUAGGAGGGUUAUCUUAAUACUUAAUUUUCUAUGACAUUACGCAUAUUCUACAAGAAUUCAUGUAUUAAGCAUAUUCUGUCAUGGAAUAAAGUAUAAAGUUUAACUCUCAUACAGGUGUUUCACAAUUCCAAAGUGAAAAAAAUUCUAAGUUGAGCAAAAGAAAAAAAGUUUUCGACAAAAUAAUGAUAAAACAUAAUUGAAACGGUCAUUUCAAAAACGAUAUAAGUAAUAAAAUUUUGAUUUACAUGUAUCAAAAAAAACUUAAAUACUCUAGAAAUCCAACUUGUUUUGCACUUGCACCUAUUUACUAAUUUAUUUUUAAGGUUUCUGGUAUUCAUAAUCCAUAGUUUUAAAUAGUCUAACUUUGGCCAAAUUAUUAAAUUGAAAUAAAAGAUUUUUGAUUUGCAUUAUUUUUGCAGUGAAUAGAAAUUUAUAAUAUGAAAUUUAAAUCAAGAAAUAAAAUAAAAUAAUAUUUUUUUUCCUAAUUAUUUAAUUUAUCUUAACUUGGCUAUAGGUAACAAAACUUAGAACAACUUUUUUCAAAAUAAAAAUUUUGUUGUUUUUGCUUAAUAAACCAUUGCACUUUUAAUAAAACAUUAAAAAAUAAAUAAAAUAUUUCUCUUUAAUAACAAAAACUUAACUUGACAAAAUGUUACAAUACAGAAACAUUUUUGAAUGAAGUCAUUGACUUUUGUAGUAAAUAUCAGUUUCACAAAUGAAAUUUUUACACAAAAUACAUAAGUAUACAUAAUAAUGUAUAAUUAUCAAAUUUGACAAAGUCAUUACUGUAAAAUCAGUGACAAAUGUAGUUUUUGAAAUGACUUAUUCAAUUGAAGUACUGGUUUCAAAAACAACCAGCAUUUUGUAUAACAUACAAAUUCAUGCAAUUUUGAGCCUUAAUCAGGGUUGGGUAAUAAAAUGUAUAUUUGGUUUUAUUUAUACUAUGCAUAAUACACACAUACUGGUGUUCAGUAAAGAAAUAGGUUAAUUGUUAUGAAUAUAAGAACUAUAGAUACCUGUUUCCUUAUUUACAGAACAUUUAUAGAUGUAGAUGUAUAAUUCUUUAAAAAAAUUUUAUUCUUAAAUAGAUCACACUGAUUUUAAACCUUUUUAUUUUUAUAAACAUCAGUUUAUGAUCUCAUAAAAUUAAAAAAUUAUUAACUUUUUAUGUUUUGUGUGAUAAAUUAUGUGUUAGUCAUUCUUGUGAAAAUUUGUUGGGAUUUCAGCCAUUAUAUUUUUAAAGUGAAGUAAAAAUUAAUAAAUAAAUACAAUAUUUUAGUAUAAAUUAAAAAAAUAAUCUAUUUUUAAUUAUGAAUCAUUUGUCAUGAUAUAAGUAUUGUUUGUAAAAAAGUAGAUGUGUAAUAUGUACAUAUAAUACUUAUACUUUUGUGUAUUAUACUGACCCAACUCUGACCUUAAAAGACAAACGAGCAAAAGUGUCAUUUUGUAGAGGCCCACGAAAAAUUUAGUAUUUGAUAGUUGUUAAUUAUUUCUAUGUACACAAAUUUAUUACUGUAAAUGUAAGUAUAGUAUGUUCAUAUUAAUUAUAAAUUUUUUGUUCUAAUAAUAAUGUAUUUAUCAGAAUAUAGACAAGAUAUAAUAAAAAUUAGUAAUUAUAACUAAAUAAUUAAAAUAUUGCAAAACAUUUUUCUAUACUAAUAUAAUAACUUCAUGGAUUAUUCAAUUAAAUUAAGAUAACGAUUGGAUCCAAAAAUAUUUAUGUAAUGUUGUAAUCAUUGUAGGAAAGAUCUAGCAAAUUUAAAUGUAAAAAUAUGAGUAACACAAUGUAUUAUAUAAGCCAUUUAAAAUUAAAUUUUUUACUUUAUUAAUAACUAAUUUUGUAAAUAUUUAAUAUCAACUGUAUAGUUGAUUAAAUUCUGUUUAAAAGUGUAAUUUUUAAUUUUACCUUGUUAUUUUUUUAUUUUAAUACAAAAUAAUAUUGAAAUGUAAAUAAUAUUAUAUCUAUUAUUGACUGAUUAAGUAUUAAGUUUAUUUUUUUGUAUAUUGUACAGCAUUAAAAAAUUGAAAAUUGUAUCAUUUUAAAAGCAAUAACUGUGAUUUGAAUUUUUAUGGUUUAAUUUAUCAAAAUAAAAUUUAAUAUGGUUUUGGUAAUAUAGUGAAAUUCUAAGAAUAUUUAACAUAUUAAAAAAUAAGUUUUGAAUUUAAAUCUAUGAUUUUAGUUUAAGAACAGUGAUAAAUGUCAAAUUAAUUCAAACAUGAAAUAACAUUUUAGUUAUUUAGUGAUUGUUUUUUCAUUUAAAAGAUUUUUUUACAAUAAUUGUUUUAUUGGAAUUCAUUAAAUAUUUUAUUGCCUUUCCGUCAAUUAAGAGAAAAUGUCCAAUACUGAUGAGCGUGACGUUAGAUACCUACAGCGAAUUAAAAAGGCUGCGUUGUUUGUUCGUGAAAGCACCAUCAAUCGCAUUAAAUCUAUACAUGAAAUGUCUGUUCGCGUUGUUGAGUCUCCUGAGCUGUUACCUGAUUUUCUAAUAUCUGUGAAGGAUUUAGACCCAUUAUGGGAAACAUUUUUAGCAAAUAAUCAAGCCGUACUUGAUGCCUUGUCGGAUUUAGAUUUGCUCGAUGAAUUUUCCUUAAAUUUAGAAACUGAUACUCGCGCGUUAUGCAUAAGAGCAUUAGCUACUGCAGAUAAAUAUAAACCUACCUUGCCACGUCAAUCACUAUCUAAUAUUAACGAUGAUGGUGAUGAGUCUGUAAUUUCCAAUAAGUAGUGGGAUGCGGUCACGUUUGCCUGAGAUACCCCUCCCCUCCUACAGUGGUAGCUUUUUGGAUUGGCCGGUCUUUCGUGAUAGAUUUAAGGCACUGAUAGCUCAGCGUACGGAUUUGUCUAAUAUUGAGCGAUUUUAUUAUUUGUUGGGAUGUCUAAAAGAUGAAGCACUUAAUAGUAUUCGCAACAUUGUUGUAUCCGAGACCACCUAUGAAUUAGCAUGGUCAACAUUAGUCGAUAGAUUUGACAGACCUCGACGUAAUAAUAAAUC